AAAUAAAUCCUCAGCAACAAAUUCUGGUGACUCAGGAAAGGAUGUAAUGGAAAUUAUACCCUUGGACAAUGGUUCCAAAAUACCAAUAAAAAAAAGUUGUUCCAAUAAGAGAUGCCAAAAGUUGCUCCCCUCAAUAAAAACCUGCAUAUAGAAAUUAAAAAA